CCUACGGGUGGCAGCAGUGGGGAAUAUUGCACAAUGGGGGAAACCCUGAUGCAGCGACGCCGCGUGUGUGAAGAAGUCUUUCGGUUUGUAAAGCUCUAUCAGCAGGGAAGAAAAUGACGGUAUCUAACUAAUAAUCACCGGCUAACUACGUGCCAGCAGCCGCGGUAAUACGUCGGGGGCAAGCGUUAGCCGGAUUUACUGGUUGUAAAGGGAGCGUAGACGGCAGAGCAAGUCUGAAGUGAAAUCCCAUGGCUUAACCAUGGAACUGCUUUGGACACUGUGCAGCUAGAGUGCAGGAGAGGUAAGCGGAAUUCCUAGUGUAGCGGUGAAAUGCGUAGAGAUGAGGAGGAACACCGGUGGCGAAGGCGGCCUACUGGA
rnacentral:rRNA from 1 species